GAGAUAACUCCUACGGGAGGCAGCAGUGGGGAAUUUUGGACAAUGGGGGCAACUCUGAUCCAGCAAUGCCGCGUGAGUGAAGAAGGCCUUCGGGUUGUAAAGCUCUUUUGUCAGGGGAGAAACGGUAGUAGCUAAUAUCUAUUACUAAUGACGGUACCUGAAGAAUAAGCACCGGCUAACUACGUGCCAGCAGCCACGGUAAUACGUAGGGUGCAAGCGUUAAUCGGAAUUACUGGGCGUAAAGCGUGCGCAGGCGGUUGUGUAAGCCAGAUGUGAAAUCCCCGGGCUCAACCUGGGAAUUGCAUUUGAGACUGCACGGGUAGGGUGUGUCAGAGGGGGGUAGAAUUCCACGUGUAGCAGUGAAAUGCGUAGAUAUGUGGAGGAAUACCGAUGGCGAAGGCAGCCCCCUGGGAUAACACAGACGCUCAUGCACGAAAGCGUGGGGAGCAAACAGGAUUAGAAACCCUUGUAGUCCUCCACU
rnacentral:rRNA from 1 species